rnacentral:tRNA from 1 species
GGGCGUUUAGCUCAGUUGGCUAGAGCGCAUCCCUUACAAGGAUGAGGUCACUGGUUCGAGCCCAGUAACGCCCA